rnacentral:sRNA from 1 species
UGUUAGUCCGCGUGAGUGAUGGCAGUGGAGCUCUUUUUUCUUUGCAUAGCCCAGGGUUUAAACCCUGGGCUAUGCAAAGAAAAAAAGCGGGAACGUACAGCACGACCCGAA